ACCAUUACGUCGAUAGACGCACUUGAUGCAGUGCCUACACAGAUAGUCUUGUUUAUAUUUAAAGAUGACUUAAGUAAAAGCUCUUAGCUUUGAUUUAAGAUCAAACCUAAGUGUUUUGAAUUAAGCACUAUGUUCUUUAACAAUUUGGAAAGCUGAUAUUAAUAGUAAUCAAUCAAAAUUGAGUAAAUGAGAAGUCGAAAGACGUACUUUUUACUCUACUUGACUUGAAUUGCUUGUUAUCAACAUUGAUUGAUAGCAAGGCAAUUCUUCCGAUUAGCUUGUCAUGCAUACAACAUUACCCUUGUCCGAAUUCAAAAGGCGGACAUGAGGCCGAUACUCAAGGCUUUUUAGGGUUGUAU
rnacentral:misc_RNA from 1 species